rnacentral:rRNA from 1 species
GAGGAAAAGAAACCAACAGGGAUUGCCCUAGUAACGGCGAGUGAAGCGGCAACAGCUCAAAUUUGAAAUCUGGCGCAAGCCCGAGUUGUAAUUUGUAGAGGAUGCUUCAGGGCAGCGGCCGGUCUAAGUUCCUUGGAACAGGACGUCAUAGAGGGUGAGAAUCCCGUAUGCGACCGGUUGGCACCCAUCACGUAGCUCCUUCGACGAGUCGAGUUGUUUGGGAAUGCAGCUCUAAAUGGGAGGUAAAUUCCUUCUAAAGCUAAAUACCGGCCAGAGACCGAUAGCGCACAAGUAGAGUGAUCGAAAGAUGAAAAGCACUUUGGAAAGAGAGUUAAAAAGCACGUGAAAUUGUUGAAAGGGAAGCGCAUGCAACCAGACUCGUCGGCGGUGUUCCGCCGGUCUUUUGACCGGUCUACUCGCCGCCGACGGGCCAGCAUCACUUGGGGGCGCCGGAUAAAGGCGUGGGGAAUGUGGCUCCUCGGAGUGUUAUAGCCCCGCGCACAAUACGGCGAUCCUCGAGUGAGGUCCGCGCUUCGGCUAGGAUGCUGGCGUAAUGGUUGUUUGCGGCCCGUCUUGAAACACGGACCAAGGAGUCUACCAUCUAUGCGAGUGUUCGGGUGUCAAACCCCUACGCGUAAUGAAAGUGAACGGAGGUGGGAACCGCAAGGUGCACCAUCGACCGAUCCUGAUGUCUUCGGAUGGAUUUGAGUAAGAGCAUAGCUGGUGGGACCCGAAAGAUGGUGAACUAUGCCUGAAUAGGGUGAAGCCAGAGGAAACUCUGGUGGAGGCUCGCAGCGGUUCUGACGUGCAAAUCGAUCGUCAAAUUUGGGUAUAGGGGCGAAAGACUAAUCGAACCAU